UUUUUUAAGCAAUAUUGGGAUUAUCACGUUAUCAUAAGCGGAAUUUAUAUCUAAAAAAGUUGCAACAACUGACUGGUUAUCAGAGAAUGCAAGCCUAAUAUCGGUGAUAAAUAAACUAAUAUUGUCCAUAGUACUUUUUCCCUUUCUGAAUCCAAACUGGUUAACAGCCAGUAAAUCAUUACUCUCAAAAAACCAUUCAAGCCGAUUCUUUACCAGAUGUUCAGCUAAUUUCAAUAAUACUGAGGACAGAACUAUUGGACGGUAUGAAGAUGGGUCAGAUGGGGACUUAUUUGGUUUAAGAACUGGCAACACUUUUUGGGACUUCCAUGACAGAGGGACACUAUUACCUGUCAACGCAAUAGAAUUGAUAAUUUGUAAAUAAUAGGAGAGAACAUGAUCAUUUAAAUUAUGAAAGAAGGAGUACGGAAUACCAUCUACACCUGGAGACGAAUCAGUUACAUUUUGGAUGAUUCCCUUGAGUUCAAACAGUGUAAAUGGCUGUUCAAUAACAGACACAGCGACUGGCGAUGGAGUUAUAGUUAGUUUUUCAGGGACCCAUGGAGGAGCCAGUUUAUCAACAAAUGGACAAGCAAUUUCUAACGGGAUAAAUGGGUGGGAAGAAUCUGUCAUUGCAGAUUUAAAUCGACGAAUGUUUUGCCAUACUAUCGAAGAUGGCGUUUCAGGGGAAAUUGAUAAGCAAAACUUUCUCCAGCUCUCAAACUUUUUCUUUUUAAAAAGUUCUCGAGUUUCUUCAAUAACUUUACCCAAUUCUGAAUAAUUUUCAUUUGUCAUAUUUGCUUUAUAGUUGCGCUCAGCAGCCUUUCUUUUUUUGAUGGCCUCUGUACAGUCACUGUCCCACCAUGGUUGUGGGGGAAGCUUACGAUUAGGUACUUUUAACGGAAAAGCUCUGUUCGCAGAUUCAACUAAUAUAUUGGUAAAGGACAAGGCACAAGUGGAUUCAUUUCCUGAAGAGACAAUUGGGAGAGACGAUAGAUAGUUCUCAACACCUUCUUUAAAAGUAUUCCAAGCAUUACUAGUUUUGUCUGGUAAUCUGUGUUUAAGUAAUGGAACAUACUUAGAUGUUAUAGGACUAUUAAAUGGAAAAGUAAUUAAUAUGGGGAAGUGGUCACUGCCAUAUGAUGAGGGUAGAGUUUGCCAAGAUAACAGAGAGGAUAGGCUAGGGGAACAUAUUGACAAAUCAACAGCACUUUGACUUUGGCCUGGACUGGUAAAACGGGUAGGAGAUCCUGUAUUUAAUGUACAUAAGUUAUGAGUGUCAAUUAUAUCUAAUAACAUUUCCCCAUAGUUAUUUGAAAUAGAACUGCCCCAUGCACGAUGAUGACAGUUAAAAUCUCCUAAGAUGAUCAGAGGUUUAGGGAGAGUUGAGAUUAAUUGAUCAAUUUCACUUAAGAUAGAAGAAGAGGGGUGAGGACUAGAGGACAGAGCGUCUGCGUAGGACUUGGAGACUGGAGGGUGGAGCUUGGAUGCCUCUGCAUACGAGAUGGAAUUUUCAGCCAUAUAAGCCUUGAUUUUCUUUUGGCGGACAAAUUCUGGGCAUGACUUACUAGUUGCAUAGUGGAAACCAGAACAAAGACAGCAGGAGGCUUGGUCUUCAUGGAUGGAGCAAGAAUCACCAAUGUGGGCUUGCCCACAUUUAAAACAGCGGGGCUGGGACCUACAUUGGGCCUUAGUAUGACCAAAUCGGCAACAAUUAAAACAUUGAAUUGUAGGGAAAAUGUACAAUUCCACUGACAAAGCAUUAUAGCAUACAAAAACUCGUUUAGGUAAAGAUUGUCCGUCAAAUGUUACUACGACUGAUUGGGAGGGUUUCCAAGAAACUGUACCAUUAAUAUAAGACUUAAAAUUCAA